UACGUAGGGGGCAAGCGUUGUCCGGAUUUAUUGGGCGUAAAGAGCGUGUAGGCGGCUAGACAGGUCUGCUGUGAAAACUCGAGGCUCAACCUCGAGAUGUCGAUGGAAACCGUCUGGCUAGAGUCCGGAAGAGGAGUGUGGAAUUCCUGGUGUAGCGGUGAAAUGCGCAGAUAUCAGGAAGAACACCUAUGGCGAAGGCAGCACUCUGGGACGGUACUGACGCUGAGACGCGAAAGCGUGGGUAGCAAACAGG
rnacentral:rRNA from 1 species